rnacentral:rRNA from 1 species
CCUACGGGGGGCAGCAGUAGGGAAUAUUGCUCAAUGGGGGAAACCCUGAAGCAGCAACGCCGCGUGGAGGAUGAAGGUUUUCGGAUUGUAAACUCCUUUUGUUAGAGAAGAUAAUGACGGUCUCUAACGAAUAAGCACCGGCUAACUCCGUGCCAGCGGCCGCGGUAAUACGGAGGGGGCAGCGGUUACCCGGAUUCCCUGGGCGUAAAGAGCGCGUAGGCGGGAUAGCAAGUCAGAAGUGAAAUCCUAGGGCUUAACCAUGGAACUGCUUUUGAAACUGUUAGUCUAGAGUAUGGGAGAGGUAGGGGGAAUUCGUGGUGUAGGGGUAAAAUGCGUAGAGAUCAAGAGGAAUACUGAUUGCGAAGGCGACCUGCUGGAACAUAACUGACGCUGAUGCGCGAAAGCGUGGGGAGCAAACAGGAUUAGAUACCCGGGUAGUC